GAUGAACGCUGGCGGCGUGCUUAACACAUGCAAGUCGAACGAAGCACUUUUGAUUGAUUUCCUCGGAAAGAUUUCAUUUGUGACUGAGUGGCGGACGGGUGAGUAACGCGUGGGUAACCUGCCUCAUACAGGGGGAUAACAGUUAGAAAUGACUGCUAAUACCGCAUAAGCGCACGGUAUCGCAUGAUACAGUGUGAAAAACUCCGGUGGUAUGAGAUGGACCCGCGUCUGAUUAGCUAGUUGCGGGUAACGGCCCGACCAAGGCGACGAUCAGUAGCCGGCUUGAGAGAGUGAACGGCCACAUUGGAACUGAGACACGGCCCAAACUCCUACGGGAGGCAGCAGUGGGGAAUAUUGCACAAUGGGGGAAACCCUGGAUGCAGGCAACGCCGCGUGAAGGAUGAA
rnacentral:rRNA from 1 species